GACGAACGCUGGCGGCGUGCUUAACACAUGCAAGUCGAACGAUGAAGCGGUGCUUGCACCGUGGAUUAGUGGCGAACGGGUGAGUAAUACGUGAGUGACCUACCUUUGACUCUGGGAUAAGCCUGGGAAACUGGGUCUAAUACCGGAUACGACCAAUCUCUGCAUGGGGUGUUGGUGGAAAGCGUUAUGGAGUGGUUUUAGAUGGGCUCACGGCCUAUCAGCUUGUUGGUGAGGUAAUGGCUUACCAAGGCGACGACGGGUAGCCGGCCUGAGAGGGUGACCGGCCACACUGGGACUGAGACACGGCCCAGACUCCUACGGGAGGCAGCAGUGGGGAAUAUUGCACAAUGGGCGCAAGCCUGAUGCAGCGACGCCGCGUGAGGGAUGACGGCCUUCGGGUUGUAAACCUCUGUUAGCAUCGAAGAAGCGAAAGUGACGGUAGGUGCAGAGAAAGCGCCGGCUAACUACGUGCCAGCAGCCGCGGUAAUACGUAGGGCGCGAGCGUUGUCCGGAAUUAUUGGGCGUAAAGAGCUUGUAGGCGGUUGGUCGCGUCUGCUGUGAAGGCCGGGGCUUAACUCCGGUUUUGCAGUGGGUACGGGCUAACUAGAGUGCAGUAGGGGAGACUGGAAUUCCUGGUGUAGCGGUGGAAUGCACAGAUAUCAGGAGGAACACCGAUGGCGAAGGCAGGUCUCUGGGCUGUAACUGACGCUGAGAAGCGAAAGCAUGGGGAGCGAACAGGAUUAGAUACCCUGGUAGUCCAUGCCGUAAACGUUGGGCACUAGGUGUGGGGGACAUUCCACGUUUUCCGCGCCGUAGCUAACGCAUUAAGUGCCCCGCCUGGGGAGUACGGCCGCAAGGCUAAAACUCAAAGGAAUUGACGGGGGCCCGCACAAGCGGCGGAGCAUGCGGAUUAAUUCGAUGCAACGCGAAGAACCUUACCAAGGCUUGACAUGCAUUAGAUCGCGUCAGAGAUGGCGUUUCCCUUCGGGGCUGGUGUACAGGUGGUGCAUGGUUGUCGUCAGCUCGUGUCGUGAGAUGUUGGGUUAAGUCCCGCAACGAGCGCAACCCUCGUUCUAUGUUGCCAGCGGUUCGGCCGGGGACUCAUAGGAGACUGCCGGGGUUAACUCGGAGGAAGGUGGGGAUGACGUCAAAUCAUCAUGCCCCUUAUGUCUUGGGCUUCACGCACGCUACAAUGGCCGGUACAGAGGGUUGCGAUACUGUGAGGUGGAGCUAAUCCCUUAAAGCCGGUCUCAGUUCGGAUCGGGGUCUGCAACUCGACCCCAUGAAGUCGGGGUCGCUAGUAAUCGCAGAUCAGCAACGCUGCGGUGAAUACGUUCCCGGGCCU
rnacentral:rRNA from 1 species